UGGGGAAUAUUGCACAAUGGGCGAAAGCCUGAUGCAGCGACGCCGCGUGAGUGAAGAAGUAUUUCGGUAUGUAAAGCUCUAUCAGCAGGGAAGAAAAUGACGGUACCUGACUAAGAAGCCCCGGCUAACUACGUGCCAGCAGCCGCGGUAAUACGUAGGGGGCAAGCGUUAUCCGGAUUUACUGGGUGUAAAGGGAGCGUAGGUGGUUUGGUAAGUCAGAUGUGAAAGCCCAGGGCUCAACCCUGGGACUGCAUUUGAAACUAUCAGACUAGAGUGCAGGAGAGGUAAGUGGAAUUCCUAGUGUAGCGGUGAAAUGCGUAGAUAUUAGGAGGAACACCAGUGGCGAAGGCGGCUUACUGGACUGUAACUGACACUGAGGCUCGAAAGCGUGGGGAGCAAACAGG
rnacentral:rRNA from 1 species